rnacentral:rRNA from 1 species
UACAGAGGUCUCAAGCGUUGUUCGGAUUCAUUGGGCGUAAAGCGUCCGCAGGUGGCACUUCAAGCCUGUCGUCAAAGACUGGGGCUUAACCCUGGAAAGGCGGUGGAAACUGAAGCGCUAGAGUGCGGUAGGGGUAGAGGGAAUUCCCGGUGUAGCGGUGAAAUGCGUAGAUAUCUGGAGGAAUACCGGUGGCGAAGGCGGCAUCCUGGACCGACAUUGACGCUGAGGAGCGAAAGCUAGGGGAGCAAACGGG